GAGAGUUUGAUCCUGGCUCAGAUUGAACGCUGGCGGCAUGCCUUACACAUGCAAGUCGAACGGCAGCAUGAUCUAGCUUGCUAGAUUGAUGGCGAGUGGCGAACGGGUGAGUAAUACAUCGGAACGUGCCCUGUAGUGGGGGAUAACUAGUCGAAAGAUUAGCUAAUACCGCAUACGACCUGAGGGUGAAAGUGGGGGACCGCAAGGCCUCAUGCUAUAGGAGCGGCCGAUGUCUGAUUAGCUAGUUGGUGAGGUAAAGGCUCACCAAAGCGACGAUCAGUAGCUGGUCUGAGAGGACGAUCAGCCACACUGGGACUGAGACACGGCCCAGACUCCUACGGGAGGCAGCAGUGGGGAAUUUUGGACAAUGGGGGCAACCCUGAUCCAGCAAUGCCGCGUGUGUGAAGAAGGCCUUCGGGUUGUAAAGCACUUUUGUCCGGAAAGAAAUCGCACUUACUAAUAUUAGGUGCGGAUGACGGUACCGGAAGAAUAAGGACCGGCUAACUACGUGCCAGCAGCCGCGGUAAUA
rnacentral:rRNA from 1 species